rnacentral:tRNA from 1 species
UGCAUCGACCGGGAAUCGAACCCGGGCCGCCCGCUUGGCAGGCGAGCAUUCUACCGCUGAACCACCGAUUC